UAGGCAACCAGAUAGCAAUGAUUGCUGUGAGAUCGAGCCUUUGGGAGAAGAAAAACCUGACGCGAGGGAAGACAGUCGGAAAAGGGCUACGAACUAACUUCCCCUUGAAAAACAGUGUAGGAACAUCGAGGGCUACAAUUGAACAACAAUAAUUCAAGUUCAGCUACGCCACUGUUGUGAAUGUGUCCUAACGCCCUGGGAGACACAAAGCGCAUAUUUGUUAACAAAGUCCGUGGAUUCGUCUUUUAUCGCUAAAAUAAGGGUUGAUUCCAAUUGCUCAAAUGCAAAUGGGGAGGAAGAUUGGAUAGAAUAAAGAGUGAACCAGGAAAUCCUUUCAAGAUGGC